CUGUGUUGGUAGGGACAUCUGAGAGUGAUGAUGAAUGCCAACCGCUCUGAUGGUGGCACAUGCCGAGUCAACCGAGUAAGCUAUUGUUAAGGGCCGUGACCCGAGCCUCCAUCAGCCGCCCGCUCUCAUGAAAGGCUGUCGGUGGUAGUCCACGUGCUUCUCUUAAGUGCCUGCAUUCCGCAGUGUCACCAAUAUUUCCAUUAGUGUUUCUUUUGUCUUUUUUUUAAGACCGAGCCUCGUUCUGUCACCCAGGCUGGAAUGCAGUGGCUCGAUCUCGGUUAACGGCAACCUCCGCGUCCCGAGUUAAGCAAUUCUGCUUCAGCCUCCCAAGUAACUGGGACUACAGGCGCGCGCCACCACGCUAGGCUUUUGUAUUUUUAGUAGAGACGGGGUUUCGCCAUGUUGGCCAUACUGGUCUUGCACUCCUGACCUCUGGUGAUCCACCAGCCGUGGUCUCCCAAAGUACUGGGAUUACAAGCCGUGAGCCACCGUGCCCGGCCGCCAUUGGUGAUUCUUAACUGCGGGUGCAGUGCUCUUUUGUAACAUUAAGUGUAUCCUUUACUUGUCGCUAGAUAAUGAAUGGUAUGGUGCUGGGUGCAGAUGCAAUGUGGCUCUGGAUAGCACCUUAUGGACAGUUGUGUCCCAAAGGAAGGAUGAGAAUAGCUACUGAAGUCCUAAAGAGCAAGCCUAACUCAAGCCAUUGGCACACCGGCAUUAGACAGAAAACUGGAAGUUGAAAUGGUGGAGUCCAACUUGUCUGGACCAGCUUAAUGGUUCUGCUCCUGGUAACGUUUUUAUCCACGGAUGGCUUGCUUGGGUAUGGAGAGUCGGCUUGACUACACUGUGUGGAGCAAGUUUUAAAGAAGCAAAGGACUCAGAAUUCAUGCUUGAAGAAAUGCAGGCAGACCUGUUAUCCUAAACUAGGGUUUUUAAUGACCACGACAAGCAAGCAUGCAGCUUACUGCUUGAAAGGGUCUUGCCUCACCCAAGCUGGAGUGCAGUGGCCUCUGAAGC
rnacentral:lncRNA from 1 species